rnacentral:rRNA from 1 species
UACGUAGGGUGCAAGCGUUAAUCGGAAUUACUGGGCGUAAAGCGUGCGCAGGCGGUUUUGUAAGUCUGUCGUGAAAGCCCCGGGCUCAACCUGGGAAUUGCGAUGGAGACUGCAAGGCUUGAAUCUGGCAGAGGGGGGUAGAAUUCCACGUGUAGCAGUGAAAUGCGUAGAGAUGUGGAGGAACACCGAUGGCGAAGGCAGCCCCCUGGGUCAAGAUUGACGCUCAUGCAUGAAAGCGUGGGGAGCAAACAGG